CUAUGAAAAUAAGGUUGAUAAACCAGUAAAGAAGUCUUUCCUUAAAUGGUCACAAUCUGCCAAGAGCAGAUAAGGAAAAGGAUCCUAUGGGUAUAAUGACAAGAAACUUAGAGCCAUCAACCCCAUGUCAGCACUGGGCUAGAAAACAAAUAGAUUUCCAGACAAUUCAGAACAAGUACUACGAAUCAGAGGCAAUCCCCAAACCUCCUCUCAAUCUCACACUUUUGAAAGACAACUAAGGAGCAGGAAGGACAUUGGGCAAUUCCACACUAAUGGUUACACUGUGACCCUUCUUUUGUCUUCUCUUGAUCCCACAUUCAAUUUGUCUUCAGUAAAAGGUUUUCUCUAUGGAGCAUAUCAUUUCAUCUCCAACAUAAAAUACUCAAGAAGAGACUGAAGUAGAGCAAGGAGACGUGAGGAACGGUGAACCGAGGGGAAAAAGAAGCGCGCAUGAGACUUGAGAGCUGAGAGCCGCAGAGCCAGUUGGUGAGAUCGCGAGAUGGCAAUAUCACGAGAAAGUGCGCCUGCACUGUGUAGAACCCUGCGUGGUAGCGCUGUCUCGCGAGAAAGCGCGCCGGCUUGGUAGAAAACUUGCAAGCCAGCCUGAGGGAGAGAGAUGAAGGAGAGGGAGAGAGCUCGCUCGCGAGGGAGAGUGUCAACUAAGGAUACUCCACUGACUAUUUUGGAGUUCAUUGGCUUUACCUGGAGGAGUAGAGAUGCCUGAGAAUUCCCAACAGAGACUGAAACUAAGAAGCGCUAAACCAGAAAUCUAGUAGGUAAGUGAAACAAGAACUAAAACUAUGGAUUCUUGUGUCUUUAUAACUAAAUGCUAAAGGUGUUAAUGUUAGAAAUGUUGAUGUUCAGAGGGCUGCAUCAACCUCAUCCUCUCUGAAAUAGGAGUUUAUCAUAUGUAAAAACAUACAAGAGCUGAGAAGUUCUUUGACUUUAACAAACUUUAAGCUUUCUGAAAAAGGGAAAAGAAAGCAGAUUGCA